rnacentral:rRNA from 1 species
CCUACGGGGUGCUGCAGUGGGGAAUAUUGGACAAUGGGCGAAAGCCUGAUUCAGCCAUGCCGCGUGUGUGAAGAAGGCCUUCGGGUUGUAAAGCACUUUCAGUGGGGAAGAAAGCCUUGGGGCUAAUACCCUCGAGGAAGGACAUCACCCACAGAAGAAGCACCGGCUAACUCCGUGCCAGCAGCCGCGGUAAUACGGAGGGUGCGAGCGUUAAUCGGAAUUACUGGGCGUAAAGCGCGCGUAGGCGGUCUGAUAAGCCGGUUGUGAAAGCCCCGGGCUCAACCUGGGAACGGCAUCCGGAACUGUCAGGCUAGAGUGCAGGAGAGGAAGGUAGAAUUCCCGGUGUAGCGGUGAAAUGCGUAGAGAUCGGGAGGAAUACCAGUGGCGAAGGCGGCCUUCUGGACUGACACUGACGCUGAGGUGCGAAAGCGUGGGUAGCAAACAGGAUUAGAUACCCCUGUAGUC